rnacentral:rRNA from 1 species
GUAGGGAAUAUUGCGCAAUGGACGAAAGUCUGACGCAGCGACGCCGCGUGAGUGAUGAAGGCCUUAGGGUCGUAAAGCUCUGUUGAAUGGGAAGAAAAAAAUGACGGUACCAUUCGAGGAAGGACCGGCUAACUUCGUGCCAGCAGCCGCGGUAAUACGAGGGGUCCUAGCGUUGUUCGGAAUCAUUGGGCGUAAAGGGUGUGUAGGUGGCCAUGUAAGUCAGGUGUGAAAGCCCCGGGCUCAACCCGGGAAGUGCACUUGAUACUGCGUGGCUUGAGUACCGAAGAGGGUAGUGGAAUUCCAGGUGUAGUGGUGAAAUACGUAGAUAUCUGGAGGAACACCGGUGGCGAAGGCGGCUACCUGGUCGAGUACUGACACUGAGACACGAAAGCGUGGGGAGCAAACAGGAUUAGAUACCCUUGUAGUCC